rnacentral:lncRNA from 12 species
ACAUACUGCACCCACAGGAACUUGGUCCUUCUAAUUCAAUGAAUAAUUUUUUUUUCCUCCUUUGAAAGAAUACAGCAGCACUUGAAAAAUACUGACCCUGAAGAACAUCACGCAUCAACUCAUUUCUGAAUGUGCUUUCGGUCCUGAAGCCCAUUCCUUUUCUCAGUGUGGCCAAGGAGACUUUUGGGUGCAAAGCCAGGAUUUCAAGGCCUUGCUGACAGGAUUAAAAAAAAAAUCACAAUAAAUUGAAGGUGAUUAAGUCACGUGUGCCAGUCAGAAUCCCACAGUGAAGCAGCACCAGGCUGUACCAAAGACUACCCUGCACAUGAAUCACUUACACCUACCUUGCUGGUGUCAGAAGAGAGUGACCACGGGCCUGACCUCAUACCACAAUUCAGCAGCCUUGUAAAGGAGGAAAAUCACAAGUGCUCUGCAAAGUUAUGUUCACACAGAACACGGGUGGCAGUUCAAAAGACCACUUAAAUACAUACCUGAGAUCUGCAGACCUCAAUUAUUUCUAAA